rnacentral:rRNA from 1 species
AUGUUCCACGAUCAAGCUCUCAAGGUGACCUGGUGCGAUCAUGUGCCAACGGUUGGUUCGUGCCAACGGUUGCUAAAACCAACCGUGACCUGGUGCAUGUCGAUGGAGAUCGGCAAGAGGAUCCCCGCCUCACGGCGGAUUAGUCGUCUCGGCGUCUUCUGUCUCUGCCUCUGCUGCGUCGCCUCGUCCGCGGCCCAGCCGUCCCGCCUAGGCGAGCUCCCGACGUUGUUCGGACGUCCCGCAGUUCCCCAUGACUACCUCCGGGCCGCCGACGUGGCGCGGCAGUGCCGGUCCGUGCUCUCCUCGGCGGCCGAGCUUACGGCUGACGGCCCCGUGGUUCAUGAUCUACACUUUGCCAACGGCGACUGGCGCCAGGACGCCGGCCACGAGCCGCUGAUGCCGUUCCCUGGCACCAGCAGCGGCGACAUUGGUGCCGGUCCCGAGCUGUGUUUUGAUUUUCGGCCGCCAAGAGUGGAUUUCGGCCAUCUCGGCCUGAGGCGAAAAGCUACCCCUCUGGCGACCUUCAUGCUCACGCACGCCGACACUGUGGAGCGGCAGCGCGUGAGUAGCUCCCUCAAUGUCAGCGGGGUGCUCACCUUGACCAUCAACCGCAACUGCUGCUGUUCCGACGACAAGUCUGAGAUGAUGGAUCCACACAGUGGCCGGCGUUCGUCACCGGAGUUCAAGCUCCUUCCUCGUAUUGCCAAGCUCAAGAUACUGCUGGAAGGCGUCUACACGGAGGCUGGUGGUGGCGAGAGAGUGCUAUGCAUGGUCGGGAAUGCUCUCCUCCCCAUGCGUGGCGGCGGCAACACCACGGAGGGGCUGUGGGACUGCGCCAAGAAUAUCGGCGAUGGCAGCAACAACUUCGAGCUGCCGGUCGUCGCCGAUGACAAUAUAGUGCUCAUUCUACGGUACCCAAAGGCGCAGACAUUGACAACCCGGGCGGUGCACGGCGAGAUGACGAGCACGAGCGCCAAGUCGGACAGUGUGUACUUCGACACUGUCCGGCUGGUUUCGCAGUUCGGCGGCCCAUACGCCAGUUACCGGUUCCGGACGGAAGAGGAAGACACAAGUGGGUGCAGCACGCCCUUGUUCUUCUGCGACGACGACGUCGCCGGUGGCUGUGCAGGGGACCUGCACGAAGACGUCCCUUUCUGCGACAUCCUUCGUGCCAAUGAGCACGGUGUGCUCGCCGUCGUCCCCAACUGGAACUGUGACUCCACCGACGAGUUCUGCGGUCGACUGGGACCCUUUGUGAACACGACGGACAGGGCGUUCACGGGUUUUGCCAUCGUGAUGCAAGGCGUUCGGUGCGAGCCGACGAGCGGACUGGACGGCAAGGCGGCCGUUCUGGUGUCGGCCGUGUUCCGCGCCAUGCCGCCGUGGGAGGACCAGGAAACGGCGGCGAAGCGUGCUGGGCUGAGCGGCAUGAUGCUGUCGGCGGAGGGCGUGUGGAGAGCGUCGACCGGGCGGCUUUGCAUGACGGCCUGCCUGGGCACCGGCACCAGCAAGGCUGCGUGCCAGCACCGCGUCUCCUUGUACAUCCCCACCAAAUUCUCCAUCACCCGCCGCGGCAUCCUCAUGGGGCAGAUAACCUCCAUGGAUGGCAGUCAUUUCCCGCUGUCGUUCCACCGAGCAUUGCAUCCCAGACAGGCCUGA